rnacentral:sRNA from 1 species
CCCUUGCCUUUCUGUUGGCUUUUCUCUCUCGCCAAUCUCUGCUUCGAUCCGUCUUAUUUUGCCUUCUGUUCUUCUAAAAGCUUGCGUUCCUCUCAAAUCCUCUGUACUUUAUUUCACAAAAUAUUCACGAAAUUGGCCUUUAAAGUUUUAUCCUUUGUUGGAAAAUCCUGCGUUCCUUAUUUUUGUUUUUUGGGGAUUUCGUUUGCGGUCUCCGUUUUCAAAGAAGUCGUGCAUCCCUGUGAACGUAGAUUUGUUGACGUUCUGUGGAACUCAUAAAAUUGGUUUCCAAGGUUUUAUCUUGAACUUGCAAUUGCUGGGAAGACUUUGUCUCUUUUUGCGUCUGUCAUACCGGUGUUGUCGCCGGAUUUCCGACGAAUUUUCAGCCCAGCUUGGGAACGGCCUGUUUUCAGGUUAUUGUCCGAUAAAGUCCAUUGAACCCAGUGUUGUCGAGGCUUUGCUGGCUAAAAGAGGAUUCUGCCUUUGACGUCCUCUGUUGAAAAAUCUGAAAUUUGGCAGGAGCUGGAACCGAUGUUUUGGUUUCGUUGACCCAGCGAUGGCUGUGACAUGAAUAGAUCGCUACAUGAAUUAUCCGAGUAGAAAAAAUCAAACACCAGACAUGAUGCAACCAUUGGUGAUGGAACAAGCACAACCACCAUAAUGUGGUUUAAAUUCGUUUUUGUCGAGAAUCAAACCUAAAACUUCUCACUUACAAGUGAAGAAGAAUACUACUAGUGCUUAAUACUAACUGGUCCUUUCAAAUUUUAUUAUAUGUUAAACAUGAUUGAAAUUAGUAAUAAUAAAAGUUCAUUAUUUAAGCAUAUUGG